AGUACGCAUGUGUAGCGCCGAAGCUUCCUGUGAAGUGUGCGUGUCUGACGGAUGACGACUCCACAAGGCGCUGUGGCCCUGGCAGCCUCAUGAGGUUGCGGCUCUGCGGGACCACACCGCCGCGGGAGUGCACGGGCCCCAGCGAGUGAAAUCUGCGGCAGCCCCCGCUGGGCCCGCUGUUCCUGCGCGCGCAGAGGAGCGUAGCCUGCCCCUAGGCCGCGUUCCCGUGAGCUCCAUGCCCACAGUGGCCGAGGCCGGCCACAAGCCCACGGUCCCUUCUGCACGGUCCCUGCCGCGCUGGGGCCACCGUGGAGGCCCGGAGGGCCCUGGGAGGAGGGAGGAGGAGCAGAGGCUUUCGGGAGAACCCAGCCCUUCACCGGCCAGGGGAGGCCGCGAUGCAUCGCGACUGGUUGUGAAGAGCCAGGGGAAGAACUUUACCGUGCAGGUAACCCAACUGAUCACAAGACAAACAGCCUAGAUUCUGAACAUCAGCUCCUGUCUUCACACUGCGGACACCACCUGAAUCCCGUCAAAGCCCACAUUGUUUCUCAACAUCCACCAGCAAGACGUAUUCCAGGGCAGCCUCUCAAAACUGCCUCAGUGAGACGGGACAAGGUGUGGUGGAGCUCCAGGUUCAGAACAGCUGCCUCAUCCCUUCCUACUGCGGCGGAGUCUGUCUCUGCUGGUCAGAGCCCUCCAACUAGCCUAGUCUAUGUCCAAGCAAGUGUCCCCUAAAAGGACCUUCUUGUCUCCCCCUCUGCUGAGGAAAGCAUGCAGGAACGAGACCUUCUAUGUUAAGGAGUACUCAGCCUCCAGUCCCAGAUGACUUGAUUGACUGAUGAACUGAUUCCUUGAGGAGGAGAAAGACACAGGGAAGAGACUGUGUUGGGUGAGUCUGUGUUUUCCCAGCUGUGCUGCCUGUGCAAAUAGUGGAACGAAAAAAGAAUUAGUGGUAGACAGACACUGCCUAGUGAAAUUGUCUGAAAGUAAAUGGAACUUAUCAUAAUAUGAUAUCGUUAUAUAUUAUAAUAUUAUGAUAUGAAAUUUGACAUCUAAAUAAAUUUUGAUAUAUUAUGAAAUAAUAUAUAAAAUUUGGUCAGGUAAUUUCAUAAAUUUUGUAACAACAUUAACCUAUAAACUCAAUAGAAAGCUAGGAAAAUUGUCUGCUCUUGUGUAAAUGACUGCGUUUUGGAUAACUCUGUAAAAGCUGUGAAGAGGGGUCUGCUACUUACGUGAUAGUAAGUACUUGAUAAGACAUCGACUUGCACAUCUUUGCUGUUUUUAACCAAUGCUCUCUCAAGAUAUGAGAAUAUUUUACUCUAAGAAAGUAUUUUCCUAGAUAUCGUAAUAGGAAUUUUGUUAAUUUUAGUUAAUAAAUUAUUAUAACAUUUAGUGAUUAUUAAUAAUUUAUGUCAUUGUUAAAAUAUAUUCCUACAGAGAACAUAUUACCCAUGUGUUUUUAUUUGUCCUUUAAUCUCAGGUAAAUUUUUUAAAUUUUUAUUUAUUAAAUUCUAUUUAUUUUAGACAAAAGAGACCUUGUAACUGCCAUAUGAUGUACUUUCUUAGAAAGAGAAAUUCUCAGGCAAAACUUAGGACUGGCUGGGCAUGGUGGCUUAUGCCUGUAAUCCCAGCACUUUGCGAGGCCAAGGCGGGUGGAUCACCUUAGGUCAGGAGUUCAAGGCUAGCCUAGCCAACAUAAGGAAGCCCCAUCUGCACUAAAAAUACAAAAAAAAAAAUUAGCUGAAUGUGGUGGCUCAUGCCUGUAAUCCCAGCUAGUUGGGAGGCAGGAGGAUUGCUUGAACCCGGGAGGCAGAAGUUUUGGUGAGCCGAGAUCAAUCCACUGCACUCCAGCUGGGCGACAGAGCAAAACUCCAUCUCAAAAAAAGAAAAAACUCAGCCUUAUUUUUAUCAAAAUCUAGAUUUUAAAUGACAUUUCUAGGUGUCCCCUUUCAAUAAAAAUCCAAACCAAAACAAACAAAAAGUUUCUAGGUAAUUCAUAUGAAUAUUAAUAACUGUUAAAUUGGGUACUUUUAUUUUUAAGAGAGGGAUUGUUUAUAUGGAUGUGUUGAUGUAUCAAACAUGUACAGUUAAAAUUGUACCUUUUUUUGACAGAGCCUCACUCUGUCCCUCUGGAAGGAGUGCAGUGGUGCAAUCACAGCUCACUGCAGCCUUGACCUCCCAGACUCCAGUGAUCCUCCCAAGUCAGCCUCUCAAAUAGCUGUGACUAGAAGUGUGCACCACUAUGCCCAACUAACUUUUAAAAAAUUGUUGUAGAGAUGAGGUCUCACUCUCUUGCCCCAGUGAGGCCUUGUUAUGUUGCCUAGGCUGGUCUCAAACUCCUGAGCUCUGGCUUCCAAAGUGAUGAGGUUACGAAUGUGAGCCACCAUGCCCAGCCAAGAUUAGACCUUUCAAUGAGUGCA
ensembl:lncRNA novel transcript, antisense to FRG2Band SYCE1